UACGUAGGGACCGAGCGUUGUCCGGAAUCAUUGGGCGUAAAGAGCGUGUAGGCGGCCACUUAAGUCCUGCGUGAAAUCUUGCGGCUCAACCGCAAGCGGUCGUGGGAAACUGGGUGGCUAGAGUGCGGGAGAGGAGAGUGGAAUUCCUGGUGUAGCGGUGGAAUGCGCAGAUAUCAGGAAGAACACCCGUGGCGAAGGCGGCUCUCUGGACAGAAACUGACGCUGAGGCGCGAAAGCUAGGGGAGCAAACAGG
rnacentral:rRNA from 1 species